UACGUAGGGUGCAAGCGUUGUCCGGAAUUAUUGGGCGUAAAGAGCUCGUAGGCGGUCUGUUGCGUCGGCUGUGAAAACCCGGGGCUCAACUCCGGGCCUGCAGUGGGUACGGGCAGACUAGAGUGCGGUAGGGGAGACUGGAAUUCCUGGUGUAGCGGUGAAAUGCGCAGAUAUCAGGAGGAACACCGGUGGCGAAGGCGGGUCUCUGGGCCGUAACUGACGCUGAGGAGCGAAAGCGUGGGGAGCGAACAGG
rnacentral:rRNA from 1 species